rnacentral:lncRNA from 1 species
GCCAGCAGUAAACUCGGCAUAAAAGCCACCAGUGUAUAUAAUGGGAAAGGCGGACUGAUUGAUGAUAUUGCUUUGAUCAGGGAUGAUGAUGUGUUGUUUGUGUGUGAAGGAGAACCAUUUAUUGAUCCUCAGACAGAUGCCAGACCGCCUGGAGGAUUGCUAGGAUCUCACACAGACUGGCUUACAUUGAAUGUAGGAGGGCGAUACUUUACAACAACAAGCGUCACCCCUACCAGGUUGUAGCAUGCAUCUCUUUGAGAGAACAGCUGAACUCAAGUAUACUCUUGACUUAAGUAUGUUUGUUUGUAAAGACACAUGAAGAAAUCAAUUUUUUUCCCUGAAUUCUUAGGAGCACUUUAGUGAAUAAAGAGCCUGACAGUAUGCUGGCGCACAUGUUCAAGGACAAAGGUGUCUGGGGAAAUAAGCAAGAUCAUAGAGGAGCUUUCUUAAUUGACCGAAGUCCUGAGUACUUUGAACCUAUUUUGAACUAUUUACGUCAUGGACAGCUCAUUGUAAAUGAUGGCAUUAACUUAUUGGGUGUUCUAGAAGAAGCCAGGUUUUUUGGUAUUGACUCACUGAUUGAACACCUAGAAGUG